rnacentral:rRNA from 1 species
UACAGAGGGGGCAAGCGUUAUUCGGAAUUAUUGGGCGUAAAGGGCGCGUAGGCGGCCUUUCAAGUGACGGGUGAAAUCCCUCGGCUUAACCGAGGAACUGCCUGUCAGACUGGAAGGCUUGAGACCGGGAGAGGUGAGUGGAAUUCCCAGUGUAGCGGUGAAAUGCGUAGAUAUUGGGAGGAACACCAGUGGCGAAGGCGGCAUCCUGGACCGGCAUUGACGCUGAGGCGCGAAAGCCAGGGGAGCAAACGGG